AUCUAUGGUCCAUGCCACCCUGAAUGUGCCAGAUCUCAUCUGAUCUCGGAAGCUAAGCAGGGUCGGGCCUGGUUAGUACUUGGAUGGGAAACCACCUCGGAAUAUCAGAUCCUGUAGGUG
rnacentral:rRNA from 1 species